rnacentral:lncRNA from 1 species
ACAAUUCCUCAGUGGUCCUUCCUACUGCCUCAUAGUUCCAAGUUGAUUUGGAAAAAUGACUGGUUCUAUGUAUGCAUAAUGUCUGAAUUACAUCUUCUGUAAAGGAUAUCAGCAGUAGCCGGUCUCUGAUUUGGCACUGGUUCUUUCCCAUAUAUUUAGAACAACAUUGUAUCUGCUGUUUUAUAUUUAAUGGUUAAAAUUCUUUAUAAAUAUCUUUUAAUCUUACUAUUUCAUAAAAGAUCUAGACCAAAUGAAUCAUGAACCAAUGCUCAUAAUGUUCAGAUUGAUGUUUGUAGCUUGUUACAUUAGACAAACAAAUAUGUAUUCUUUUCACUUGAGAACUAACUACUGGGUUAUAGAAGUUUGUAACUAAUAAGCAAUUCACCAUAAACUUUGAUCUCUUUUCUGUAUUGAAGCAAACAUUCUUAUGAGAAUAUGGGUUUAGUGACAGAGUAAGCCACCUACAAGCUAAUUAUACACACAUAUGUCCUUAGAUUUUGAAUUCCUUUUAGGGCAUGGACCACUCAUAUUCAUCCUGGUGCCUAACACAAAGUUGGCCUUCAUUAAAUAGAUAAAUAAUUGAAGGCCUCAAUGAAAAAUAAUUUAAGGAUUUAUAUUCAUAACUCCUUUUAAGUUCUGGUAAACGUUUUCCAAAUUAUACAUCUUACCUUCCACAGGAAACCAUGUCUUAAUGGAAGGAACAGUGGACUUGCACUCAGGAGACAGGGGAUUGAAGAAAGAACUAAUCAGACAGACCAUAGUUGGAUUACUGUCUCUACCGUUUGUGACUGAUUGUGAACUUGGACACAUGACGUAAUCUGUAUGCCUCAGUCCCUUCUCCUUAGUGCAGUUGUAUCAUUGAUGCUGUGCUUCUUUCUGAGGACCAUCAACUAUGUUUCAGUUCAUCCCCCAUAUCUAAUGGAAGACCUUCAACAUGAAAGAUGGCACCCCUGUAAUAUGGCAGGGAGACCUCUGAGCUUUUAAGGUAAUGAUGAGCUUCUAUGAAAUGG